CGGACGGGUGAGUAAUGUCUGGGAAACUGCCCGAUGGAGGGGGAUAACUACUGGAAACGGUAGCUAAUACCGCAUAACGUCGCAAGACCAAAGAGGGGGACCUUCGGGCCUCUUGCCAUCGGAUGUGCCCAGAUGGAUUAGCUAGUAGGUGGGGUAACGGCUCACCUAGGCGACGAUCCCUAGCUGGUCUGAGAGGAUGACCAGCCACACUGGAACUGAGACACGGUCCAG
rnacentral:rRNA from 1 species